CUGACUGCUGUGGAGGAAGGAGGUGUGCUGCAUGCUCCUUUGGAAAGUCUGCCUGCACUCCGGAUGUGGAGGCCAGCCAGACGGUGAUGACCCAGGACCCCCAGGCUUGGGAAACCACAGAGUGAGGAGAAACUGAGAACUCUGAGAUGGCAAGCCCCAGAGAAACAGCGUAAUCUUGCAUGCGAUCCUACCUUCACCAGCAGAAGGGAACUAUCAAUCAGAUUAUACAUCUGAACACUAGGAGGUCUUGGCGCAGUGGCGGAGCCGAGAAGUAGACUGGUUAUUGAGGUCUGAAGUACUUCCUCAAAGGUGCUGGGGCAUAGAGGCCCAGGGACUUGAGAGUGGCCUUAGAAUCAGUCAGGCCAUGGAAUUUUGUGUCCAUCUGUUCUGAGAAGAGAGAAGUUCCCUCAAAUGGAAGGUUCUGAAUGGACUGCUGAACCUCUGUGGAAGGCCCGAAGAUUGGAGCCAAGAGCACCUUUGCAUGAAUACUGCCGAUGCCGUAGUUCUAGUAGCUGUGUCAGUUGUAUCCAGGGCAGACUGGAGGGAGGUCUUGGCUAUAGUUUUUUAUUCUUCCACCUGAGCAGAGAAUUCCUGUCUGGACUUCUGAGAGCCGCGACUCCUUGAAUAUAGACACAAGGUCUCAGAUGUUAUAAUCAUACUGCCCAAGCAAGGCCUGCUGGUUGGUGAUGUGGAGCUGUAAUCCACCAGUAGAAUACAUUUUUCUAGCAAAUAGGUCCAGCUUCUUUGAGUCCAUCACCUUGGGGGUCACACCCUGCAGCCUUUGCUUGUCUCUUUUGUGGGUUGCUGCAUCCACAAGUAACCCGGGAGGGGGAUGGGAAUAAAGGUAUUCAUACCCAUUGUUGAGGACAAAGUACUUUUUCUCUGCUCUUUUUGAAGUGGGGGGCAGGGAGGACAGAAUCUGCUAUAGGGAUCUGACUGGACCCAUAACAACCUGGUUGAGGGGUAGGGCCACCUUUGAGAGGGCUGCCGAGGCCAAGAUGUCAAUCAGGCUGUGGGAGGAUUUUUUAAGCAUCUUCACUUCCAGCUGUAGGUUAGAACCUAUCCUUUUCGGUAGCUCCUGGUGAGCUGUAAGGUCAUCCUGAGGCGCCGAGCCACUCAACACAGCCUCGUCUGGGGAUGAAGAGGAAGCCUGAACCAGCAGGAGAGCUUCCUCCUUUUCUUCUGCACCAACCAUAACAUGUAGCCCCAAAUCCUGAGUAUCGGUACUGUGUUUGGUACUAGAGUCCAGGUCGGGUGCCAGAUGGUGCAGCGGAGAGGGCCUUCUCUUGGACCCCACCGAGUAUGAACAGCUGGAAGAUGUCCCAGUACUUGGGGAAAACCCCACGGAUUCCAAAAAGACCACUGGACCAAGUACUUUGAGGGGCACCUGCACCGGGAUCCAAAAGAACAUAGGCCAGGUACUGGUAUCGGUCCCUUGGCUGGGUGCAUGGCUCCACCUCCAACUCCAAUGACAAGUCGGCUUGCGGGGAUCAUGGUUGGAGAUACCCCUUGCUUCCACUGGCCGAUGCCGAAGGUCUGGGGAAUGGUGCCAGAGAGGGGAAGCCUUCGCCGACAUCAGUAGAGUCUGUUUCCCUCUGGUCAGUACCCAGUCAGAGGGCCCAGUGUGAUGGGAUGGCCACAGAGGACAGCAGCCAUGUGGCAGGAGGGCCAUAGGAGCAGGGUGGGGAGGGGAGAAGACAACGCUGCAUUUGUUAUACUUGGUGCUCAUUUUCAAGUUUUCUUUGCAACCAGAAAUACAGAAGCAAAUCUUUUUAAAAUGAAAUCUCCAAUUCUGAAGCAUCCAUUCAACAACAAAUCGUUGCCAAUAAUGAUCAGUGUGUUGUAGAUAGAAAUAGUUAUAAUAAAUAUUGCCAGGAAAUAAAAAAUGAUCACAUUAACAAAAUAAAAAGUAGCCUAUCUUUUAGAUGCUAGACUCUACACAUGAAUCAAUUUGCCAGAAAGAUUAAAAAAAGUUUCAAAGGGUGCAUUUGAAUUACAAUUCAAGCUAAUUAACAGGUUUACUUCUAAAUUCUUUGAAAAUUAAUUCUGUACUCAGUAUAAGUGCUGUAAGUUAGGUGAGAAUACAGAUACACUACAUUAAACAUAAAAAUAAUCUUUAAGUGCAAAACUCUUGCUACUGUUUCUCCAAAACUAUUAUUUUUUAUAAAACAGCCUUAGAAAUACCAAAGCACACAACUCUCUUUAUUUAAAUAAACUCUAAACCCCAAAAAGCAAAACAGAAGUUAAGUGGUGGACAAGGACAGGAAGUUGUAAGCUGACCGAAAAUGAAAAGCAGUGAAUCUUUGAGGAAGUACCCAAAGAAUUACUAACAUAUUAGAAAAGUAAAUAGGCUGCUUUGGGGAAAACAAAGCAAGCAAACAACCAAACAAAACCCGGUUUGGUUUGAGUACUGACAAAUAGGUUCCAAAAGAGAGUUCUAAAUCCCACAUUAUUUGUAGUAUUCAGAACUUUUACUGGCAAACAUUAAAACACUAGGGAUCAUAAUCUCUGCUAGUGUAAAUUGUCAUAGGCCUGAUGACAUCAGUGGGCCUAUGACAAUUUACACCAAGUGCGUACCUCAGGGUGAUCUGCCCCUCUGUAGCCUAUCCAAUGGUUUAGGUUAAGAAAUAAGCUGAAAUUAGCUUUUGGGCCUAAGUGUAGAGGAGUAUGGGAAAUUGAAUUUGCUAGUGUGAGAAAGUUAAAGAUAAGUUAGACACAGAAUGUAAUGGGAAAGUAAGAGUUAGCAAGGACGUGACCCAGGGUUAUUUUACUCAUUGCAUUUAGGCUAUAACUGGUUUAAAGCAAGGUUUUAAUGAAUGUUUUUAAGAAUUGUGAAUGUUUAUUAAAAUGCUAUCUAUAUUGAUAAUAUGGGACGAUGUUAUUUUAAAUACUGUGUAAGGUACGAGCCAAUAAGAAGGUGGUAGAAAUACAAUUAUGGGAAAGAUCAGUUUAAUGUUAAUUAAUAUUAUCAAUUGCUUAUAAAAGGAGUAGUUUUGCUAAAUUGCCAGUGAACUCCAAUUAAUAUCAAAGGGUACUAUUAGGUUCUAAGAUUAUAAGGCUGUACUUCAUUUGGUGUCAGUGGACUGAUCUUUGAGCAUAAGUGUGAUUGUAGUACCGUGUAAGUAGCAACUGCAUGACUUUAAUAGUUUGGUUGUAUCAUUCGAAGUGUCA